UGCAGUCGAGCGGUAACAGGGGGUGCUUGCACUCCGCUGACGAGCGGCGGACGGGUGAGUAAUGCAUAGGAAACUGCCCAGUAGUGGGGGAUAGCCCGGGGAAACCCGGAUUAAUACCGCGUACGCCCUUCGGGGGAAAGCAGGGGAUCUUCGGACCUUGCGCUAUUGGAUGUGCCUAUGUCGGAUUAGCUAGUUGGUGGGGUAAAGGCCUACCAAGGCGACGAUCCGUAGCUGGUCUGAGAGGAUGAUCAGCCACAUCGGGACUGAGACACGGCCCGAACUCCUACGGGAGGCAGCAGUGGGGAAUAUUGGACAAUGGGGGCAACCCUGAUCCAGCCAUGCCGCGUGUGUGAAGAAGGCUUUCGGGUUGUAAAGCACUUUCAGUGAGGAGGAAAAGUUGGUCGUUAAUACCGGCCAGCCUUGACGUUACUCACAGAAGAAGCACCGGCUAACUCCGUGCCAGCAGCCGCGGUAAUACGGAGGGUGCAAGCGUUAAUCGGAAUUACUGGGCGUAAAGCGCGCGUAGGUGGUUUGAUAAGCGAGAUGUGAAAGCCCCGGGCUUAACCUGGGAACGGCAUUUCGAACUGUCAGGCUAGAGUAUGGUAGAGGAGUGUGGAAUUUCCUGUGUAGCGGUGAAAUGCGUAGAUAUA
rnacentral:rRNA from 1 species